CCUACGGGUGGCAGCAGUGGGGAAUAUUGCACAAUGGGGGAAACCCUGAUGCAGCAACGCCGCGUGAGCGAAGAAGGUCUUCGGAUCGUAAAGCUCUGUUGUCGGGGAAGAACAAGUACGGUAGGAAAUGAUCGUACCUUGACGGUACCCGACGAGAAAGCCACGGCUAACUACGUGCCAGCAGCCGCGGUAAUACGUAGGGGGCUAGCGUUAUCCGGAAUUACUGGGCGUAAAGGGUGCGGAGGCGGCCCUUCAAGUCAGGGUUGAAAGGCUACGGCUCAACCGUAGUAAGCCUUUGAAACUGUAGGGCUUGAGUGCAGGAGAGGAGAGUGGAAUUCCCAGUGUAGCGGUGAAAUGCGUAGAUAUUGGGAGGAACACCAGUUGCGAAGGCGGCUCUCUGGACUGUAACUGACGCUGAGGCACGAAAGCGUGGGGAGCGAACAGGAUUAGAUACCCCAGUAGUC
rnacentral:rRNA from 1 species